GAUGAACGCUGGCGGCAUGCCUAAUACAUGCAAGUCGAACGAGAGGAAGGAAAGCUUGCUUUUCUGAAUCUAGUGGCGAACGGGUGAGUAACGCGUAGGUAACCUGCCCAUGUGCCCGGGAUAACUUCUGGAAACGGAUGCUAAAACCGGAUAGGUAGCAGACAAGCAUUUGACUGCUAUUAAAGUGGCUAAGGCCAUGAACAUGGAUGGACGGGCGGUGCAUUAGCUAGUUGGUGAGGUAACGGCCCACCAAGGCGACGAUGCAUAGCCGGCCGGGGAGGGCGGACGGCCACAUUGGGACUGAGACACGGCCCAAACUCCUACGGGAGGCAGCAGUAGGGAAUUUUCGUCAAUGGGGGGAACCCUGAACGAGCAAUGCCGCGUGAGUGAGGAAGGUCUUCGGAUCGUAAAGCUCUGUUGUAAGAGAAAAACGACAUUCAUAGGGAAUGAUGAGUGAGUGAUGGUAUCUUACCAGAAAGUCACGGCUAACUACGUGCCAGCAGCCGCCGUAA
rnacentral:rRNA from 1 species